UACAAUAGCUCAAAACAUCUCUGAUGGAACAUGGGAGGAAAUUACUGGCAAAGACUUGCAGGGCUUCCCUAGACAACUCUUUGGCUUGGACUGUGGCAUCUUCAUGAUAAUGGCCGCCUUUUAUGUCACCUUGGAUGCAGAAUUUGACUACUCUGUGCAUGACAUGUCAGUCUUGCGGAGGUGGUGGUGUCUGUUGAUACUGGAGAACAAAUCCCUUGACAGGUAUGUAAUCUUUUCCACAUGGCCAUGUCUUGCUUUUUGGUAGAUAGCCCAUACAC